rnacentral:lncRNA from 1 species
AACUCCUGACCUCAAGUGAUCCGCCCACCUCGGCCUCCCAAAGUGCUGGGAUUACAGGCAUGAGCCACCGCUCCGGGCCCUUGCACAUAUUUUUUUAUGAACACACAGGCAGCAGCACUUUGAUUACAGUAACUUACAUGGAAGUUAUUUUAAAAUGGCUUUCCCCUUCUCUUUUUCAUGUAGGCUGCAUUUUUCAUCUGCAGCACGCUUUCUCUCAAGAAUCUCAAGCACACACAAGAAACCAGAGAGUAAAAUCACUGAGGCGUGAACACAUCCAGAGACCAAGGGCGUCACUGGCAGAAAAGCUUUUAGGCGGAUCCACGGCCCGAGAGCCACCCUGCCCAGAGACGCGGUUUCCUAGGAGCAGUUCACACGCGGCUCUGCAGCACCCACAAGCGGGGCCAGGGGCUGGUUUUCAUAGUUCACAGUCUGCAGGGAUCUUAACAAAAACAUGGCCGUGGUAAAAGUGCCUAGACCAGGCUUUCGUCACAACUCAUCAUGUUACUAGGUUAGGAUAAUAAAAAGGACUGUGAACUUCACAUCUGCCAUCUAUAAUAGAUUCUUAUUGUAGCAAUCUUGCACCAAGGGGAUUUCUUUAUUAACUCUGCCAAAUUUUCCAAAAUUACCAAAUGGAGAAAAGAGCUGGUCCCAUCUGUCACCAGGCACAACCAGGAAGUGUCAGAAGACUUUCAGAAGCACAUGCAGUUGCAGCUCCAGUGUUUCAACAGUUGCCCAUUUCCAAGGCCUCCUAAAUACGUAUGAGGCCUGUGGACAACUUUCUCCUCAGCUGUUACAGUUGGCUAGAUUAGUUCCCCAGUCUGUCUUCUCGCCACUCUGGAUGUCCACAUGAGAGGACCCAAGCACGAAUGGUUAGAAAGAUGAACUUGGAACCUCAGACGAGAAUAUGAGAAACAUAAACAGAGACAUAUGACAACCUAAAAAAUGGAGUACAAUACCAAUAAGAAUAACGAUUA